UACGAAGGGGGCUAGCGUUGCUCGGAAUCACUGGGCGUAAAGCGCACGUAGGCGGCUUUUUAAGUCAGGGGUGAAAUCCUGGAGCUCAACUCCAGAACUGCCUUUGAUACUGGGAAGCUUGAGUCCGGGAGAGGUGAGUGGAACUCCGAGUGUAGAGGUGAAAUGCGUAGAUAUCUGGAGGAACACCGGUGGCGAAGGCGGCAUCCUGGACCGGUAUUGACGCUGAGGCGCGAAAGCCAGGGGAGCAAACGGG
rnacentral:rRNA from 1 species